rnacentral:snoRNA from 1 species
AACGCAAAACCACAGCCAUUCACAACGUUAAUGCAUUCCCUUGAGGUUGAACCCAUUAUGGCGUUCUUGACCCAUGACCAUCGGAAUAUAGUUGUGUUUUUUUCACUGGAUGGACUGGAGAAAAAUUUGGUUGAUCUUGGGUGCAGCACUCCAUCUGUUGAAUAAUUUAUUUGUUUCUAAGGGAUUACCUUCGUGUGCCCGUAUGGGGAGUGGUGCAAUGAUCAGCUGGACAUAU